AUUGAACGCUGGCGGCAGGCCUAACACAUGCAAGUCGAGCGAGCGUGGGACGGGUGUGUAAUGUAUGGGGACUGCCCGAUAGAGGGGGAUAACUACUCGAAACGGUAGCUAAUACCCCAUAUUACCGCAUAACCCACAUGGGAUUAGCUAGUGGGUGAGGUAAUGGCUCACCUAGGCGACGAUCCCUAGCUGGUCUGAGAGGAUGAUCAGCCAAACUGGGACUGAGACACGGCCCAGACUCCUACGGAGGAAGCAGUGGGGAAUAUUGCACAAUGGGCGCAAGCCUGAUGCAGCCAUGCCGCGUGUAUGAAGAAGGCCCUAGGGUUGUAAAGUACUUUCAGUCGGGAGGCGUUACCGACAGAAGAAGCACCGGCUAACUCCGUGCCAGCAGCCGCGGUAAUAC
rnacentral:rRNA from 1 species